rnacentral:rRNA from 1 species
CCUACGGGAGGCAGCAGUGGGGAAUCUUGGACAAUGGACCAAAGCCUGAUCCAGCGCACGCCGCGUGGGUGAAGAAGGCCUGCGGGUUGUAAAGCCCUUUCGGUGGGGAAGAAAAGCCUCGAGUUAAUACCUCAGGGUCUUGACGUCUCCCARAGAACAAGCACCGGCUUACUCUGUGCCAGCAGCCGCGGUAAU